AUGCUUGUUGAGACAAACAAGCAUGAAAUAUAUCAUAUUAUUUACAAGCUUCUUAAGUUGGUAUUGAUUCUCCCAGUAGCUACUGCUAGUGUUGAAAGGGUAUUCUCUUCAAUGAGCUAUGUGAAGAAUAAGCUAAGGAACAAAAUGGAUGAUGAAUAUUUGAACAAUUGUUUGGUUACAUUUGUUGAGAGAGAAUUUUUCAAUCAAGUGAAGGAUGAAGAUGUCAUCAAUCUCUUCCAGAAAAGCGACCGCAAAUUUAUAUUGUAA
rnacentral:rRNA from 1 species